AGGCGUGAGCCACCGUGCCCGGCCGCCAAUGAGGUUUAUCUGAGGUGUGAUUAUUGCUAACUGAAAACUUUUCGCAAUAUUCCAUCAUGAUGACUUGAAAUAUAGUCAGCACUGGCAAUUUUUGACAGUCUGUACAGA
ensembl:snRNA U4 U4 spliceosomal RNA